AACCGACCUGGCUCACACCGGUUUAAACUCAGAUCAUGUAAAAUUCUAAAGGUCGAACAGACCUAAUUCGCUAGCUUCUACACCAACAAUUAACUUUAAUCCAACAUCGAGGUCGCAAUCUAUUUUUUCGAUAAGAACUCUAAAAAAAAUUACGCUGUUAUCCCUAAGGUAAUUUAAUCUUUUAAUCCACAAACUAGGCUCAUAAAUAUACACAUAAAUAUUAAAUUUAACAAGAAAAGUUAUUUUAAUUUUCCUAUCACCCCAACUAAAUAAACAAAAAUAAUAUUCAAACAAAUAAUUCCUAAUAUUUAAAUAUUACCCAGUCUAUAAAACUCUAUAGGGUCUUCUCGUCUUCUAUAAAAAUUUAAGCUUUUUCACUUAAAAAUAAAAUUUUAAUAAAAUUAAACCGAGACAGUCAAUCCUUCAUCGAACCCUUCAUACAAGCUUUUAAUUAAAAAACUAGUGAUUAUGCUACCUUUGCACGGUCUAUAUACC
rnacentral:rRNA from 1 species